rnacentral:rRNA from 1 species
UUUGAAUGGCCGCGGUAUUUUGACUGUGCUAAGGUAGCAUAAUCAUUAGUUUUUUAAUUAAAAGCUGGAAUAAAGGGUUGAAUGAAAGAUUAACUGUCUCUAAUUGAUUUUAUUAGAAUUUUAUUUUUAAGUUAAAAAGCUUAAAUAAUUUUAAAAGACGAGAAGACCCCAUAGAGUUUAAUAUAAUAAAUUUAUUAAUAUUUAGUAUUAAUUUUUUAUAAUAAUUAUUAUAUUUAGUUGGGGCGAUUUAAAAACUUAUAAAACUUUUUAUAUAUAUGAAUAUUAAUUAAUAAAUUUAUGAUCCAAUAAUUUUGAUUAUAAGGUAAAUUACCUUGGGGAUAACAGCGUAAUUUUAUUUGAGAGUUCUAAUCGAAAAUAAAGUUUGCGACCUCGAUGUUGGAUUAAAAUUUAUAUUUGGUGUAGAAGCUAAGUAUUUAAGUCUGUUCGACUUUUAAAAUUUUAC